UUUUUAUUUUGAAUUAGUUUUUUCCUCCUGUGUGCGCACACAGUGAACCCAACUGAGACUGAACUCUCUAAUAACAAAAAGUCGUGUACAGAAACCCCCCAUCCCACCAUAUAUGGAACCUGUAUGUUAAUUAAUAAGACCUUAUGGAAUGUUGAUAAUGACAAUUACUGAAUAUUGAUAAACUUAAAGUGGUACUUCCUCGUGUCUGCAUUUCAAAUAAGAGCGGAGUGCACUUCACAAGUGUCUAGCUGGAAUUUCAAACCCCCCCCCCCCCCCCCCCCAAAAAAAAAAAAAAAUACGCUUGCCGAACCUAAUGACAGCUCUCCCGUUUCUACCGGGAGAUGAAACAAGACAAGCGCUUUGUUUUUAUGAGCAGCGUGUUUGUUUGUUUUUCUUGCUGUCUUUUCUUUGGUUCUCGCUUGCUUUCAGUAAGCUGUACCACCAGAAACAGGCUGUGGAGGGAGAAUCGUGGAAAGGAAUGACAGAAUGUAUGUUAGGAAACCCUUUAUCUUGGCUUCAUCGACGAGCGGUGACUUAAGUGCACUUUGUGAAGGCUCCUUGACUGUGAAGUGCUUAUUAUGAGGGUGAUGUUUUACUUAAAGGGGAACUUUGGAAUUUCUCAACCAUGGUGCAACAUUUGCAUGUUUUGGGGUUCAUCUUUUCACUUGGCACUAAACAGAUUUUAAUGGUUCCAGUAACAAUCUAGAAUCUGAACACCAUCACGGGCUAAAGAGCUAUACGAUAUAAGGCUAUGGGGCAAGCUUGAAGCACUCAAAGUCAGCUUCUUAUUUGUCAUUAAAAGUGUAUGAAGCACAAAGAAGCUCCCUACAGAGGUACAAAUAUGCAUGUUUAUCUCACCUAAAUGUAAAGAAACUUUUUAAUGACAAUUAUACAGUUAGCCACUUACAUUAGCCUCUUUCCCAUGUGGUAAGACCACUCUCCACUAAGUCAUUAAAAGUCAGUUGCUGAUAAAGGGUUCAUUCUUCUGCUUACAACAGGAACACAUGCCUCAUCAAGACUCAGCUUGUAAUAACUUAGUAUAUAAAGUGGAGCCAUCUGACAUGAAGGAGGCUAAGGUAAGUAGCUAACUGUGUAAUUGGUCAUUUUAACAGGUAUUUCCAUGGGGAUUUUUUUUAGGCUACCACACACUAAUCUAAUCCAAUGACAUUUUUGCCUAUUCAGCAGUGACAAGCAGCAAAUUUCUUCAAAUUUUUCAGCGUGUCCCAUAGGCUUAUAUUGUACAGCUGUUUAGUGUGUGACAGUUCAUCAACUUCAAAAU